CCUACGGGUGGCAGCAGUGGGGAAUAUUGGGCAAUGGGCGCAAGCCUGAUCCAGCAACGCCGCGUGAAGGAAGAAGGCUUUCGGGUUGUAAACUUCUUUCAAGGGGGAAGAGCAGAAGACGGUACCCCUUGAAUAAGCCACGGCUAACUACGUGCCAGCAGCCGCGGUAAUCCGUAGGUGGCAAGCGUUGUCCGGAUUUACUGGGUGUAAAGGGCGUGCAGCCGGAGAGACAAGUCAGAUGUGAAAUCCACGGGCUCAACCCGUGAACUGCAUUUGAAACUGUUUCCCUUGAGUGUCGGAGGGGUAAUCGGAAUUCCUUGUGUAGCGGUGAAAUGCGUAGAUAUAAGGAAGAACACCAGUGGCGAAGGCGGAUUACUGGACGAUAACUGACGGUGAGGCGCGAAAGCGUGGGGAGCAAACAGGAUUAGAUACCCCUGUAGUC
rnacentral:rRNA from 1 species